UUCCGUAGGUGAACCUGCGGAAGGAUCAUUACUGUGAUUUACUACUACACUGCGUGAGCGGAACGAAAACAACAACACCUAAAAUGUGGAAUAUAGCAUAUAGUCGACAAGAGAAAUCUACGAAAAAACAAACAAAACUUUCAACAACGGAUCUCUUGGUUCUCGCAUCGAUGAAGAGCGCAGCGAAAUGCGAUACCUAGUGUGAAUUGCAGCCAUCGUGAAUCAUCGAGUUCUUGAACGCACAUUGCGCCCCUCGGCAUUCCGGGGGGCAUGCCUGUUUGAGCGUCGUUUCCAUCUUGCGCGUGCGCAGAGUUGGGGGAGCGGAGCGGACGACGUGUAAAGAGCGUCGGAGCUGCGACUCGCCUGAAAGGGAGCGAAGCUGGCCGAGCGAACUAGACUUUUUUUCAGGGACGCUUGGCGGCCGAGAGCGAGUGUUGCGAGACAACAAAAAGCUCGACCUCAAAUCAGGUAGGAAUACCCGCUGAACUUAAGCAUAUCAAUAA
rnacentral:rRNA from 1 species